rnacentral:misc_RNA from 1 species
UGGGUUUGACAUGCACAGGACGCAUCCAGAGAUGGGUGUUCCCUUGUGGCCUGUGUGCAGGUGGUGCAUGGCUGUCGUCAGCUCGUGCCGUGAGGUGUUGGGUUAAGUCCCGCAACGAGCGCAACCCUCGCCCUUAGUUGCCAUCAUUCAGUUGGGCACUCUAGGGGGACUGCCGGUGAUAAGCCGAGAGGAAGGUGGGGAUGACGUCAGUGCUUGCCU